GACGUACACGUCAUAGUCACGGACUAUGCGUGUGAUGAUGUCAGAGGUGGAGAUGCCCUCUGUCCGCUGGGUGGGAGCGAACAUACCUGUGGAGGGCACAGGGGGUCACGAGCAUGAAAAAAGAUUUUACAUGAAGUGAAGCAGAGGUAUUUCAUUGUCUCUCUUUUCUCUUCUUGUUUCGUUUAAAUUUGUGUUGCUUAACUUCCAACUGCUGUUUAUGCAUGUCGUGUGUGUUGCAUAUAUGGUAAAUGCAUGUGAGUCUGCACGCAUUGAUUUAUGUUCUGAAUACUCCCCUGCACAAGGUUUGAGCAAAAUACAUGUGGACACAACACAUAUUUAGGAUGAUAAAUCAUUGGUAUGACCAUAUACAGCACUAUCUUCCACUGACACAUGCUCCAUAUAUUUAUAAGUUACACUAUAAAAAACAGGUCUGGCACUCACCAGCUUCCUUGAUGUGCUUGUAUACGUCAUCACUGCCCGCUGAGGAGUAUGGGAUGUCGUCAUGGGCCACAAAGUCAAUCUGGAGAGGUCAUUACAACAUACAUCAACACAGUAGAUUCAGAACUACAAAUUGUACAGAAACAAAAACACACAAAAAAACCAGCAGGGAAACGGUUACAGAGGAUCAGCCAACUCAUUCUUAAUAUCUGAUCAUUUUACUUAAUAAGUUCUUGGUCAACAUUUCGACAUUUACAGUUUAUGUCUUUUAACUCUGGUGUUUCUCUGUUUCAUCCACUCACACGAUGUCUUAUGAGGAACUCCGGCGAUAAUGUCCAGGGAGCGUUUCGCACCACUUCGUCCACAUAGCGGCAAUGUCUAAUGGCAUCGUAGCGCUCAUCCUCAUUCAUCACUGUGAAGCCCUUGUAUUUGUGGGUCAGGUCAUCACUGCACACUUUAAACAGUUAAAAAAAUACAGAAAUUAAAGUUUUAAAUGCCUUAACCAUGAUUUCAAUUCUAAACAAAAGAGAAAAAAGAGGCUGGUUAACACGGGACUGUAAUUAACUGAUGGAGGGAGGGAAAGCAGAGGACAAACAAACUGCACUGUUUGUCCUUCCCAUGUACAAAACAGACCUAAGAAUAUCCCGCAAUAACUCAGUGUCCCACAAUUAACUUUAUAAAGUUAUCCAACUUGUCCCAGAUGUCUGAAUUUAUUAAACUUGUACUGAACUAUC